AUGUCUAUAGUGGUCAUGUCUAUAGUGGUCAUGUCUAUAGUGGUCUUGUCUAUAGUGGUCCUGUCUAUAGUGGUCCUGUCUGUAGUGGUCUAUAGUGGUCCUGUCUAUAGUGGUAUUGUCUAUAGUGGUCCUGUCUAUAGUGGUCCUGUCUAUAGUGGUAUUGUCUAUAGUGGUCCUGUCUAUAGUGGUCAUGUCUUGUAUUGGUCAUGUCUUGUUGUGGUCCUGUCUAUAGUGGUCCUGUCUGAAAUGGUCCUGUCUAUAGUGGUCCUGUCUAUAGUGGUCCUGUCUAUAGUGGUCCUGUCUAUAGUGGUCCUGUCUGUAGUGGUCCUGUCUAUAGUGGUCCUGUCUGUAGUGGUAUUGUCUAUAGUGGUCCUGUCUAUAGUGGUCCUGUCUAUAGUGGUCCUGUCUGUAGUGGUCUAUAGUGGUCCUGUCUAUAGUGGUCCUGUCUGUAGUGGUCCUGUCUGUAGUGGUCUAUAGUGGUCCUGUCUCUAGUGGUCUAUAGUGGUCCUGUCUGUAGUGGUCCUGUCUGUAGUGGUCUAUAGUGGUCCUGUCUGUAGUGGUCUAUAGUGGUCCUGUCUGUAGUGGUCUUGUCUGUAGUGGUCAUGUCUAUAGUGGUCCUGUCUAUAGUGGUCCUGUCUAUAGUGGUCCUGUCUGUAGUGGUCUAUAGUGGUCCCGUCUAUAAUGGUCCUGUCUAUAGUGGUCCUGUCUAUAAUGGUCUGUAGUGGUCCUGUCUAUAGUGGUCCUGUCUAUAGUGGUCCUGUCUAUAGUGGUCAUGUCUUGUAGUGGUCCUGUCUGUAGUGGUCUAUAGUGGUCCCGUCUAUAAUGGUCCUGUCUAUAGUGGUCCUGUCUAUAAUGGUCUGUAGUGGUAUUGUCUAUAGUGGUAUUGUCUAUAGUGGUCCUGUCUAUAGUGGUAUUGUCUAUAGUGGUCCUGUCUAUAGUGGUCAUGUCUUGUAGUGGUCAUGUCUUGUAGUGGUCAUGUCUUGUUGUGGUCCUGUCUAUAGUGGUCCUGUCUGAAAUGGUCCUGUCUAUAGUGGUCUUGUCUAUAGUGGUCCUGUCUAUAGUGGUCCUGUCUAUAGUGGUCCUGUCUAUAGUGGUCCUGUCUAUAGUGGUCCUGUCUGUAGUGGUCCUGUCUGUAGUGGUCCUGUCUAUAGUGGUCCUGUCUGUAGUGGUAUUGUCUAUAGUUGUCCUGUCUAUAGUGGUCCUGUCUAUAGUGGUCCUGUCUGUAGUGGUCUAUAGUGGUCCUGUCUGUAGUGGUCUAUAGUGGUCCUGUCUAUAGUGGUCCUGUCUGUAGUGGUCCUGUCUGUAGUGGUCUAUAGUGGUCCUGUCUCUAGUGGUCUAUAGUGGUCCUGUCUGUAGUGGUCCUGUCUGUAGUGGUCUAUAGUGGUCCUGUCUGUAGUGGUCUAUAGUGGUCCUGUCUGUAGUGGUCUUGUCUGUAGUGGUAUUGUCUAUAGUGGUCCUGUUUGUAGUGGUCCUGUCUGUAGUGGUCUAUAGUGGUCCUGUCUGUAGUGGUAUUGUCUAUAGUGGUCCUGUCUGUAGUGUUCCUGUCUGUAGUGGUCUAUAGUGGUCCUGUCUGUAGUGGUCCUGUCUAUAGUGGUCAUGGCUAUAGUGGUCCUGUCUAUAGUGGUCCUGUCUAUAAUGGUCCUGUCUGUAGUGGUCAUGUUUUGUAGUGGUCCUGUCUAUAGUGGUCCUGUCUAUAGUGGUCAUGUCUAUAGUGGUCAUGUCUAUAGUGGUCCUGUCUAUAGUGGUCAUGUCUAUAGUGGUCCUGUCUAUAGUGGUCCUGUCUAUAGUGGUCCUGUCUGUAGUGGUCCUGUCUGUAGUGGUAUUGUUUAUAGUGGUCCUGUCUAUAGUGGUCCUGUCUGUAGUGGUAUUGUCUGUAGUGGUAUUGUCUGUAGUGGUCCUGUCUGUAGUGGUCUAUUGUGGUCCUGUCUGUGUAGCCUGAAGACUAAAGCUCUCUGAGUGUCUGGAUGAGCCUCACAUGUUGACCUCUGCUUCCACCUGGUGGGGGAAUAGAAAAACAACACAUCAUCCCAAAUAUAUGCUUUCUUAAUGCCGUCAUCCAACAUCAAUCUUGCAACCUUUCGGUUCCUCGUCCAACCCUCUAACCACUAGACUACCUGCCCCGCCCCCUCUAACCACUAGACUACCUGCCUCCCCCCUCUAACCACUAGACUACCUGCCUCCCCCCUCUAACCACUAGACUACCUGCCUCACCCCCUCUAACCACUAGACUACCUGCCUCCUCCUCUAACCACUAGGCUACCUGCCUCACCCCUCUAACCACUAGACUACCUGCCCCGCCCCCUCUAACCACUAGACUACCUGCCCGCCCCCUCUAACCACUAGACUACCUGCCUCCUCCUCUAACCACUAAACUACCUGCCUCCUCCUCUAACCACUAGGCUACCUGCCUCACCCCCUCUAACCACUAGACUACCUGCCUCCUCCUCUAACCACUAGGCUACCUGCCUCACCCCUCUAACCACUAGACUACCUGCCUCCCCCCUCUAACCACUAGGCUACCUGCCUCCUCCUCUAACCACUAGGCUACCUGCCUCCUCCUCUAACCACUAGGCUACUUGCCUCCCCCCUCUAACCACUAAACUACCUGCCUCCUCCUCUAACCACUAAACUACCUGCCUCCUCCUCUAACCACUAAACUACCUGCCUCCUCCUCUAACCACUAGGCUACCUGUCUCCUCCCCUCUAACCACUAGACUACCUGCCUCCCCCCUCUAACCA
rnacentral:lncRNA from 1 species